UGCAGUCGAACGAACUCUGGUAUUGAUUGGUGCUUGCAUCAUGAUUUACAUUUGAGUGAGUGGCGAACUGGUGAGUAACACGUGGGAAACCUGCCCAGAAGCGGGGGAUAACACCUGGAAACAGAUGCUAAUACCGCAUAACAACUUGGACCGCAUGGUCCGAGUUUGAAAGAUGGCUUCGGCUAUCACUUUUGGAUGGUCCCGCGGCGUAUUAGCUAGAUGGUGGGGUAACGGCUCACCAUGGCAAUGAUACGUAGCCGACCUGAGAGGGUAAUCGGCCACAUUGGGACUGAGACACGGCCCAAACUCCUACGGGAGGCAGCAGUAGGGAAUCUUCCACAAUGGACGAAAGUCUGAUGGAGCAACGCCGCGUGAGUGAAGAAGGGUUUCGGCUCGUAAAACUCUGUUGUUAAAGAAGAACAUAUCUGAGAGUAACUGUUCAGGUAUUGACGGUAUUUAACCAGAAAGCCACGGCUAACUACGUGCCAGCAGCCGCGGUAAUACGUAGGUGGCAAGCGUUGUCCGGAUUUAUUGGGCGUAAAGCGAGCGCAGGCGGUUUUUUAAGUCUGAUGUGAAAGCCUUCGGCUCAACCGAAGAAGUGCAUCGGAAACUGGGAAACUUGAGUGCAGAAGAGGACAGUGGAACUCCAUGUGUAGCGGUGAAAUGCGUAGAUAUAUGGAAGAACACCAGUGGCGAAGGCGGCUGUCUGGUCUGUAACUGACGCUGAGGCUCGAAAGUAUGGGUAGCAAACAGGAUUAGAUACCCUGGUAGUCCAUACCGUAAACGAUGAAUGCUAAGUGUUGGAGGGUUUCCGCCCUUUCAGUGCUGCAGCUAACGCAUUAAGCAUUCCGCCUGGGGAGUACGGCCGCAAGGCU
rnacentral:rRNA from 1 species